GGGGACUGGUGGGCAGGUCGGAGUUGCUCAUUGCCAGUUCUGAUGCCAUCCUUUUGCUGCUGACAGUCCUCCAGAAAGGGUGCACGCCAGGAGCGAGGGGGCUGCUCGGAGUUGCCGCCGGGUAGAGUAUGAGGAAGACCAACUCACUCUGUAGCACUGUCCAUCGCGGGGAUGUCCUCUGUGUGACAGAAGGAAGGACUACAGAGUGGGUAGACAUCGAUGAGGAACUGAUGGAGCUAAUGAUCAAGCAGCUCAUCUCAAACCACAGAGGAAAUCUGUAGCGGAACCAGGGAUGGCAUCUGGAUAUUCCUCUUUCCCUUCCCGCGCAUCCUAGGGCUGGAUCAUCCUUGGUAGCAUGUGAAGAGAUGACCAUGUUGGUAUUUGUUCUACUGCAAAUAUUUCCAACUGCAAAUGUACCUACACCAGCCAGAUAGAGGAUUGUAUUUAUUAUUUAUUAUUUGUGUAAACCUGAAUAAAAAUUUCUCUUUGUGAAAUGGCUAGCUAUGGCAGGUUACAAAUGCCAUUAAUAUUCUUUUACUCUCUCUAUGCUCCACAGUGAGGGGGUGACCCUUCUUUAUAAGGAAAUGGAGCAACUUGUGAGUAAUGGGUAAUUUCCUGAUAUACAAAUACUGCAGCCCAUCUUUUCCCUUCAGAUCUUCAGGUCACAUCUUUUAUCAUAGGUUUUUCCCCUGGUGGAGAACCACGUUAAGGUUUUUUGGAUAAUGUAGGGUUCAAUCCUAAACCCACAUAAAGCAAUAGGAAAUAUUGCCCCCGGGUACAGAUUAUGCCACAAUUGGAAGAAUGUGUAGCAAGAUAUUGAAUCUCUCUCCGAUCUCUGGGGUUAGAAAUCCUGAUGUUUUUCACCUCCGCAUCAGUAACUAAAGCACUACUUCAUCUAGCACCCCACAAAACUAGGAGGUUUUAUAUGAAACUGCUGCAUUUUGUCCAGCUCUGUUUAUGAUGCAAGGCCUGCACAGGAAGAAUCAAUUCCUUAUGUAAAAUCAUCAAUAGCUGCCUAGAAAAAAGGCCAUGAUUAUUUGUUCAUAUUUGCAUCAUUUUAUAUACACUCAGAAAGCCCUGAAAAAGGUCGAGUGAGCAUAAAACAAAGUUAAACUAUAUUCAAAACUUUCCAGCCCCCACUCUUCAAGUCAGAACACCAGGGUUAAAUCUGUUUCUAUUUAGACAAAACCCAACCAGUAUUUUUAUUAUCCUGCCUGCAAAGCGUUGGAUGUGCAUGUGUGGAAAAUGCAUUGUCUCUUUAAAUAAAAGGACUGUGGCUGGAUUAUUUGCCCC